CCUACGGGAGGCAGCAGUGAGGAAUAUUGGUCAAUGGACGAGAGUCUGAACCAGCCAAGUAGCGUGAAGGAUGACUGCCCUAUGGGUUGUAAACUUCUUUUAUAUGGGAAUAAAAUGUUCCACGUGUGGGAUUGUGGAUGUACCAUAUGAAUAAGGAUCGGCUAACGCCGUGCCAGCCGCCGCGGUAAUACGGAGGAUCCGAGCGUUAGCCGGAGUUAGUGGGUUUAAAGGGAGCGUAGGUGGAUUGUUAAGUCAGUUGUGAAAGUUUGCGGCUCAACCGUAAAAUUGCCGUUGAAACUGGCAGUCUUGAGUACAGUCGAGGUUGGCGGAUUUCGUGGUGUCGCCG
rnacentral:rRNA from 1 species